GCAAUUUAGAGUGACCAAUUAACCUGGAAUGCAUGUUUUUGGGAGGAAGCCGGAGAGAUUCCACACAUGCAACUCCACACAGUAAGGCACCUGCCUGACUGGGUACUCGUACCAGGAACCUUCUCACUGUGAGGCAGCAGUGCUACCCACUGCAGCACUGUGCAGCCAAUAUAAAACACACAGCAACAAAAAAAGCAGUUACCCUUCUGAAGCUUUCUUUUUUGAACAGCCAGACAAAUGUUGGUGAUUAUGAGGACAACAACCAGGCCCACCAGGACUGGACAAGUCAGCUUCAUCAUUCCAACCCACGCUUCUACAAGAAAGGUGUGGCUCAGGAGACACACCUGCGAGCAAUCUGAAUCAGCAGCACUACAAAUACCUGGUCCUCCUGCCACUUCAGUGCUGGAUUGUUCCUUCGCCACGGCGAUCCUCCUGCUACAUGUUUUUCACCAGGCAUCUGGGAGCUGGCUUCCUAGAUAUUUUUGUUUUGCUUCAGUUGUCUCCACAAUAAAUUGAUU